AUGACUAGGGAUAACCUUAGGAAGAGACACAUCAUCAAACCCCUUGAUUGUGUUUACUGCUUGGAAUAAGAGUCUUGUUCUCACCUAUUUUUUGAAUGUAUAGUUGCUAAACAUCUCUGGGCCCACAUUGAGGAAUAUUUCUCUAGUCAGAUUGGCUCAUCCUUCGAAUAUGUCGCCAGAUUCUGGAUUGCUACCAAAAAGUGCUCAGUUUUAAAUACUAUUAGCUCAGCUGUCCUUUGGUGCCUCUAGAAAUAUAGAAAUGCUAUGAUUUUUAGUAACACCUCCUGGAUUUCCAUUCCGCGGGUCUUGGGGUUGAUCAGGAACAUGGUGAGGAACUCGGCGAUUCUCUCCUCCGGAUCGGACAAGGACAAGUUGAUGAGCUUCGUGGAAACCCUAACAAGAUCCCUCCAGAAACCGUUGGCGAUCACUUGUGGUUGA
rnacentral:rRNA from 1 species